GAUGAACGCUGGCGGCGUGCCUAAUACAUGCAAGUCGAGCGAAUGGAUUAAGAGCUUGCUCUUAUGAAGCUAGCGGCGGACGGGUGAGUAACACGUGGGUAACCUGCCCAUAAGACUGGGAUAACUCCGGGAAACCGGGGCUAAUACCGGAUAACAUUUUGAACCGCAUGGUUCGAAAUUGAAAGGCGGCUUCGGCUGUCACUUAUGGGUGGACCCGCGUCGCAUUAGCUAGUUGGUGAGGUAACGGCUCACCAAGGCAACGAUGCGUAGCCGACCUGAGAGGGUGAGCGGCCACACUGGGACUGAGACACGGCCCAGACUCCUACGGGAGGCAGCAGUAGGGAAUCUUCCGCAAUGGACGAAAGUCUGACGGAGCAACGCCGCGUGAGUGAUGAAGGCUUUCGGGUCGUAAAACUCUGUUGUUAGGGAAGAACAAGUGCUAGUUGAAUAAGCUGGCACCUUGACGGUACCUAACCAGAAAGCCACGGCUAACUACGUGCCAGCAGCCGCCGUAG
rnacentral:rRNA from 1 species